rfam:Candidate division Kazan bacterium RIFCSPLOWO2_01_FTLL_48_13 rifcsplowo2_01_scaffold_1952, whole genome shotgun sequence.
UUUUUUGAGAGUUUGAUCCUGGCUCAGGAUUAACGCCGGCGGCAUGCCUAACACAUGCAAGUCGAGUGCACUUCGGGUGCACGGCAGACGGCUGAGUAACGCGUGGGAACAUACCCUUGGGUCGAGCAUAACCUGCCGAAAGGCAGGAUAAUUCUCGAUAGUCUCAGCACUUAUUUCAGUGGAUUAAUUUUUAGUCUGUUGAAAUAAGUGCUGAGUAAAGAUUUAUCGCCCAAGGAGUGGCCUGCGUUCGAUUAGCUAGUUGGUAGGGUAAUGGCCUACCAAGGCUGUGAUCGAUAGUUGGUCUGAGAGGAUGACCAGCCAGACUGGGACUGAGACACGGCCCAGACUCCUACGGGAGGCAGCAGUGAGGAAUUUUGCGCAAUGGACGAAAGUCUGACGCAGCAAUGCCGCGUGAGGGAUGAAGGUCUUCGGAUUGUAAACCUCUUUUUUAUGGGAAGAUUAUGACGGUACCGUAAGAAUAAGAGCCUGCUAACUACGUGCCAGCAGCAGCGGUAAUACGUAGGGCUCGAGCGUUAUCCGGAUUUAUUGGGCGUAGAGCGCUCGUAGGCGGACCAGUAGGUCGAACAUUAAAGACUCCGGCUCAACCGGAGAAGGGUGUUCGAAACCGCUGAUCUUGAGAAUGGUAGAGGCAGAUGGAAUUCUCGGUGUAGGGGUAAUAUCCGUAGAUAUCGAGAAGAACACCAAAGGCGAAGGCAGUCUGCUGGGCCAUUUCUGACGCUAAGGAGCGAAAGCGUGGGGAGCGAACGGGAUUAGAUAAAUCCGUCACCGCUCAUUAAAUAUAGUGACGAAGGGUGUCCCUCUCGGCGGCGACGUCGAGAUGAGCAUUCAGCUGUAUCGGGGAAACUCCAUUACAUUCGGGUUACCGGCCCGUGAUGGACAAUCCCGAGGGAAGUCGUACGCGCGUAGCGUGUAUUGACCCCGUAGAGACUAUGAAGUUGACUGUGACAGAGGGUAUAGCAAUUAAUUGCAAAAUUAUGAGGCAAAUCAUACCCUUGUCUGAAACGGCUCGAGCGAUUAUUUUCGGCUCGAUAUUAGGUGAUGGAUCGUUAAAAGUCCAUCGGACCUAUGUGAAUGCCCGUUUUUCGUUUCGCCAUUCCGAAAAACAGAAGAGCUACUUUGAUUGGAAAGUAAAACAAUUGAAUGAAAUCUCUUCUCAGAAUAAUUCGUGGCGGCAAACAAAGGACGGUCGAGACGGAUGGGGAAAAAUAAAGUGGAGGUACCAAAGCCUGGCUUUGCCAGCGCUCACCGAACUUUAUAAACUUACUCAUCCUCACGGUAAAUUCUUGAUCAGAAGGAAGUGGCUUAAUUUAUUGACCCCGUUGUCCCUGGCCAUUUGGUGGCAAGAUGAUGGCUCAAUAAUAGCUAACGGCAGAAAAGGGGUAAUUUGUACGGAUGGUUUUACCAAACCGGGUGUAACUUUACUCCAGAAAUACUUGAAGGUGGUUUGGCAGAUUGAGACAACUGUCGCCCCCAAGAACAGGCAAAGGCCUGAUCAGGUGCGGCUGUGGUUAAACUCCUCCGAGCAACUGCAAUCACUUCUGCGAAUUAUUCUACCGCAUCUGGCGGUGGAAAAAAUGAUCCCAAAAUUUAUUCUUCUGUAUCACAAUCAUCAACUUCAACAACGCUGGAUCUCUGAAGUCGCGGCUCUUUCUAAGUUUUCUUUGGAAAUAGUGCAACAGUACUAUGAACUGAAGAAAGCCAAGUGGAAAAACUACAAAGAGCAAAGUUCAGAGAAUGAUAUAGUCCAAUCUGUAUAGUAAUAUACUGUUUGACCCCGGUAGUCCACGCUGUAAACGAUGGAUACUAGGCAUUGGUGGCAUCGGUCCCCUCAGUGCCGUAGCUAACGCGUUAAGUAUCCCGCCUGGGGAGUACGGCCGCAAGGUUAAAACUCAAAGGAAUUGACGGGGACCCGCACAAGCGGUGGAGCACGUGGUUUAAUUCGAUACUAAGCGAGGAACCUCACCAGGUCUUGCAUCGUGUUGCAAGCUCAAGGAAACUUGAGCCCUCUUUCGAGACAGCAUAGACAGGUGCUGCACGGUUGUCGUCAGCUCGUGCCGUGAGGUGUACCGUUAAGUCGGGUAACGAGCGCAACCCCCAUUGUGUGUUGUAUUUUUCACACGAGACUGCCUUGGUUAACAAGGAGGAAGGCGGGGAUGACGUCAAAUCAGCGUGGCCUUUAUGGCCUGGGCGACACACAUGCUACAAUGGCCGGGCACAGAGGGUAGCCAAACCGCGAGGUGGAGCUAAUCCCUGAAAACCGGUCUCAGUUCGGAUUGCAGGCUGAAACCCGCCUGCAUGAAGCCGGAAUCGCUAGUAACCGUAGAUCAGCCAUGCUACGGUGAAUACGUUCUCGGGUCUUGUACAAAAUAAAUGCGCCUGGCAGCGCAUCGGACUAGUCGGUGUAAAUCCGACUUU